GGAUAACGUUUGGAAACGAACGCUAAUACCGCAUGAUAUUAUCUUAUCGCAUGAUAGGAUGAUCAAAGGAGUGAUCCGCUGAAAGAUGGGCUCGCGUCCGAUUAGGUAGUUGGUGAGGUAACGGCCCACCAAGCCGACGAUCGGUAGCCGGACUGAGAGGUUGGACGGCCACAUUGGGACUGAGACACGGCCCAGACUCCUACGGGAGGCAGCAGUAAGGGAUAUUGGUCAAUGGGGGAAACCCUGAACCAGCAACGCCGCGUGAGGGAAGACGGUUUUCGGAUUGUAAACCUCUGUCCUCUGUGAAGAUGAUGACGGUAGCAGAGGAGGAAGCUCCGGCUAACUACGUGCCAGCAGCCGCGGUAAUACGUAGGGAGCGAGCGUUGUCCGGAUUUACUGGGUGUAAAGGGUGCGUAGGCGGCUAUGCAAGUCAGUAGUGAAAUCCAUGGGCUUAACCCAUGAACUGCUAUUGAAACUGCACAGCUUGAGUGAAGUAGAGGUAGGCGGAAUUCCCGGUGUAGCGGUGAAAUGCGUAGAGAUCGGGAGGAACACCAGUGGCGAAGGCGGCCUACUGGGCUUUAACUGACGCUGAGGCACGAAAGCGUGGGUAGCAAACAGGAUUAGAUACCCUGGUAGUCCACGCUGUAAACGAUGAUUACUAGGUGUGGGGGGACUGAACCCUUCCGUGCCGGAG
rnacentral:rRNA from 1 species